rnacentral:rRNA from 1 species
UACAGAGGUCCCAAGCGUUGUUCGGAUUCAUUGGGCGUAAAGCGCACGUAGGCGGCUUUGCAAGUCGGAUGUGAAAUCCCUCGGCUUAACCAAGGAAGUGCAUCCGAAACUGCUGAGCUUGAGUACUUAAGAGGAUCGCGGAAUUCCCGGUGUAGAGGUGAAAUUCGUAGAUAUCGGGAGGAACACCAGUGGCGAAGGCGGCGAUCUGGGAAGAUACUGACGCUGAGGUGCGAAAGCGUGGGGAGCAAACAGG